rnacentral:rRNA from 1 species
GACGAACGCUGGCGGCGUGCUUAACACAUGCAAGUCGAACGGAAAGGCCCUGCUUUUGUGGGAUGCGCGAGUGGAGAACGGGUGAGAAACACGCGAGUAAACUGUGCUUGACAUCGGGAUAACAUCAGGAAACAGGAGCGAAUAUAGGACAGGAAAUCUUGCUGCAUAGUGGGGGUGGGAAAGUUUCGCCGGUUGGGGAUGGACUGGCGGCUUAUCAGCGUGUUGGUGGGGUAGUGGCUUACCGAGGCAUUGACGGGUAGCCGGCCUGAGAGGGUGACCGGCCACAUUGUGACUGAGAUACCAGCCGGACUCCUACGGGAGGAAGCAGUGGGAAAUAGUGCACGAUGGGCGGAAGCCGUAUACAGCAACGCCGCGUGCUGGAUGUCGGCCUUUGGGUUGUAACCCGCUUUCGCCUGUGACGCAGCGUGAGUGACGGUAAUGGCUCAAGAAGCACCGGCUAACUACGUG